GGGAACCAGUCUAGCUAAACAGCCAGUGGGUGCUUCCGGGCUGUGUGGAUUGUGCUAACUGCAGGUCUGUGAAGACCUGGGGCCUUUCUCUUUCAACACCAGCUAGAAAGCUGCUGCAUCCAGCUCUCCAGUUGGAAACCUGGCUCUGAUACCAGAUGUAAAAGGAUGCUGGCUCUGAUACCAGAUGUAAAAGAUGUUGACUAGUUACCGUGAAAUAUACAUGGAAGACUAUAUGUGAGAGGAUAUUGUGACUGUACAUAAGUCUAUAGAAAUCAUGACAGAAGUUCCAGAGGAAAUAAACCCCCAGCAAUGUGGAGAGCGGAAGCAGCUUUAUCAUCACAUAGAAGUUAUUAACAUGUUUGGAAGGCAGACCGUGAAAAGGUACACACUGACAGCUUAUGGUAUAAAACUCCAGCAGUCAUUGGCUAUCUGAAAAAGUUAUUUAUAUUUCAUGAAAUGUCUGGAAGAUCUGUGAAGUACAAGUGGAAGAUAGGGAAAGUUCAGUCCAAGAAGAUGUGAAGGCUCCCUUGCAAUUAGCUGUGGCUGUGUAACUGUUGUUGGCCAAUGAGAAGUGACCAGAAAUAAGAAGUACCAAGGUAGUUAAUACCUGGAAAGUAUUAUCCACCCUUCUUUUCCUGAUGAGAUGUUCUUGAAGGUUACAGUUUCUAGCUGGCAAGAAGACAUAGGACUACCUGACCUACAUCUGCGUUUUACACACUACAGUAUUAGACAAUUUUGGACAAUGACAGCUGGAAAUUGAUCACUGCCCCCAACUUUAAUUUUCCUUGCUAUUUUACAGGGUGAGACGAUUUAUGGGUUUCGAAAUCUUCCUGUUGCAAUUAGAAUCAUGAUAGUAGCACCAGAGUGGCACAUUUCGUAAUUUCCAGAAGGCAAUCAGUGUAGUUGGACCCAAGGCCCUCUUGAUAAUAACAGAGGCAAUGUGGUCAAGUUCAAAUAAAUGGGCUGGACCGUCUCCUAUGGUAUUUCCCAUAACUGGAGGCAAAAUAACGUGAAAUCUUCAUUCAGCUGGGAAAAGCGGUUGGCAGCUGUUUGGAAGAGAUGAACACUGGUUGAGCUCCGUUGUAAAUGUUCCUG
ensembl:lncRNA